CCAGGUCCCCAGUCCCCACGUGCAGUGGGUGGCAGGCUGGGGCCUAACCCGGAGGGAGGCAGGGAGGCAGGUCAGGACCUGAGACCCCGGCCUGAGGAAGGCCCUGCCUUAUGGGGGAAGGGAGAGCAACACCCCGGCCGCAGGGUCCCACCCGAGGAGUUUGAGAGGCCUGGGUGACCUCUGUCCCCCUGCCACCGGGGAGGGGGGCGAGGGAGGGGCCGCAGUGUCCACAGAGCCUUGUAGUCAGGUAGUCAGGACACAGGCCCGGCCCCUCUACUGAGAGGAGGUGAGAAGGGGGCAUGGCCCCUCUGAGGCCCAUAUAAGGCACCUCAACAAAUGUUUACGGGUCCCCUUCCCCCACCACACUCACAUCGCACCGUGCCCACCACCCCCCCACCCCGCCCCACAUUCAUUACCGCUUCAGAGGCAGUCCCCCGACCCCCUGUGCCAGACCCUCAGGGAGAGCCCAGUCUGGUAGAGAGGCAGACAAGGAGGCAGAAAAUUCCCCUCACGGUUGCAAGAGGGGACAUGGGGACAGCUACUCGGGGUGUCUUCUUGAAGGUGGAUACAGCCCAACUGAAUAAGUGCCUGCCAAGGAGAGAAGGAUCGUGGAUGCCAGAGGCCACAGGGGCUGCCGAUAAACCUUACCGCUCAAAUUCAUCAGGAUAGUCACCCAUUUCACAGGAUGCAGCCUCAGAAUCCUGGCACAGGGCUCCUGGCAGCCACUGGGAAGGGUUGGCCCUGGAAACAUCAUCUACUGGCCUCUUCCAAAGGACCUGCUGGACCCGCUAAGCUCCUACCUGCCCACAGGACCAAGACAGGCAUCUCUGCCCUUCCGGGAUCGAUGUGCCUAUCUCCCAGGGCUGCUGGCAGGAUUAGAUAGGUUGCCCUUCGAACAGUCACCUGGAAGCAGGGGGAGGAGCCUGUUCAUGUUGGGCGUUGACCAACAAGAACCAGCAAGAGAGAUGAAGAUGGAUCUGCCCUCGCACAGCUACAGCAGACUCGCACACUCGGAGGCAACAUGUGACGUGGAGAGACACACUUUAUGUCCAUGUUGUUGGGGGAGCAGCCUGUGCCGUCCCUCGGUGAGCUGGCAUCCUCCUGGCCCUGCUGAGCAGCACCACCCCGGACUGUGCCAGCAAACCCCUCUCCAUCCCUCAUCC
rnacentral:lncRNA from 1 species